CCUACGGGGGGCAGCAGCGAGGAAUCUUGGUCAAUGGGCGCAAGCCUGAACCAGCGACGCCGCGUGGAGGAUGAAGGCCCUCGGGUCGUAAACUCCUUUUGUGUGGGACGAAGCUCUGACGGUACCACACGAAUAAGCCCCGGCUAACUACGUGCCAGCAGCCGCGGUAAUACGUAGGGGGCGAGCGUUGUCCGGAUUUACUGGGCGUAAAGCGCGCGCAGGCGGUCUGUCGCGUCCGUUGUGAAAGCUCCCGGCUCAACUGGGAGAGGUCUUCGGAUACGGGCAGACUCGAGGGAGGCAGAGGAAGGUGGAAUCCCCGGUGUAGUGGUGAAAUGCGUAGAGAUCGGGGGGAACACCAGUGGCGAAGGCGGCCUUCUGGGCCUUUCCUGACGCUGAGGCGCGAAAGCGUGGGGAGCGAACCGGAUUAGAUACCCUAGUAG
rnacentral:rRNA from 1 species